GCACUCAUGCUUCAAGGCCCUGACUGCUGCCAUGUGUGCAUCUGCUUACUAACAUCCACUGCUGAACUCACUGGCUUCCCCGGACCCUAUCUCUAAAAGGAAUGAUGUUUGUGAAUGAUGUUAAGCCGAGAAGAUGUAAGAAAUGUAAGAGAAGAAACAAGGGGCAGAUAAAACCGUGCACUGCAAUGAAAGUUUAAACAAAUGCCACUUGCAAUGACUUCAUAAUACUCCAUCAGGUCAUCAAAUUACGUCUUCAUCGUUGACUGUCCCUGGGCAUUUACACGGAAUCCUAUUUCUAACCAUGGACAGAAACACUUUCCGACA
rnacentral:lncRNA from 1 species